GUGGGGGUUUCGGAGGAUAUCCCUGUUAAUGUUCUGUUGGGGAAUGAUUUGGGCAGGAUGUUCUGUCACUAUGCUCCAGCGGACACUGUUUGUGAGCCAGAAGGGCUGACUGCUCCACCUAAGGUAUUGUGUGAAACUUUGGGAGACAUUGUGAAGUGUGAUUGCUGGGAGGGAGAGCAGGGUGUGGAUAAAUAUCUACCUGUAACUGAACCAGUGAUGUCUACCAAAUGUGAGAUAGGGGUGAGUAGUGAUGUGCCUGUAUCAAAAUACUGUGAGUCUGGGAUGUCAGAGAGUAAGGGGGAGGAGGAAGGUGAGAGCCAGGGAUGUGUACCACUAGUUGCAGUGGUAACAAGUCAACAGUGGGUCAGGGCUGCAGCAGUCUGAGGUGCUAUGUGAGAUUCUGAGAGGAGGGCCUGCCUUGGAGAAGAAAUUAUGUGAGUGUGUGCAAAAUUCUGUAUCUGAUCAAGGGGGGUCAAAUGUGUCCUGUGAAAAUGUAUGGGAAAAGCCUUCCAGCGAGAGGGGCCUCAAGGAAUAUAUGUGCCUGAAGCAGAUGUAUGUGAUGCACUGGGUGAAAAUGUGAAGGGACAGCAAGGCUAUGAGGGAGAGCAGAGGGUGUGGGAGCUUUACUCUGCGCCAGACUUAGCCAGUUUCCAAAGUUCUGUAUGUGUGAUGACCUGGAGUGAAAGUGAGGGGCACGGACAGACUCCGCCUGUGGGUCCAGGAAGGAUGGCUGCAGGGAAACAUACUGUUGGAGGAACCAGGAACCUUGUCAGUUUAUCACAACUCACGCAUACACCUAAGCAACUUUCUGAUUGUGAACCAAAGGUUCAGAGUCUGAUAGUGCAACAAGCCCAGCAGACAGACCGCAAAAUGAAAGAGAUGAUGGGUGUUGAUACAGCACAUCUAUCCUGGGAGUGUUCUCUGUCUGCUUUUUUGUGUGCUUACCGGGGAGUGCUGCAGAAAUCCAUUGGUUUCUUCCCUUUACAGCUACUACAUGAGCGCAGUGGGUGUGGUUUAAGGGAUGUUACCAGAGAUC